rnacentral:snoRNA from 1 species
ACGACCUUACUUGAACAGGAUCUGUUCUAUAGGCUCGUACCAUUGUAUUCUUAAAUUCUAAAAAAAAAAAUACAACU